rnacentral:tRNA from 1 species
GGUAGCAUGGCCGAGCGGUCUAAGGCGCUGGUUUAAGGCACCAGUCAUUUCGAUGGCGUGGGUUCGAAUCCCCAAUGCUUCCA